GACGUAGGGCGCGAGCGUUGUCCGGAUUUAUUGGGCGUAAAGAGCUCGUAGGCGGCUUGUUGCGUCGACCGUGAAAACCCGGGGCUCAACUUCGGGCUUGCGGUCGAUACGGGCGGGCUAGAGUCCGGAAGAGGCGAGUGGAAUUCCCGGUGUAGCGGUGAAAUGCGCAGAUAUCGGGAGGAACACCAAUGGCGAAGGCAGCUCGCUGGGACGGUACUGACGCUGAGGCGCGAAAGCGUGGGGAGCAAACGGG
rnacentral:rRNA from 1 species